AUUGAACGCUGGCGGCAGGCCUAACACAUGCAAGUCGAUCGGUAGAGAGAAGCUUGCUUCUCUUGAGAGCGGCGGACGGGUGAGUAAUGCCUAGGAAUCUGCCUGGUAGUGGGGGAUAACGUUCGGAAACGGACGCUAAUACCGCAUACGUCCUACGGGAGAAAGCAGGGGACCUUCGGGCCUUGCGCUAUCAGAUGAGCCUAGGUAGGAUUAGCUAGUUGGUGGGGUAAUGGCUCACCAAGGCGAAGUUCCGUAACUGGUCUGAGAGGAUAAUCAGUCACACUGGAACUGAGACACGGUCCAGACUCCUACGGGAGGAAGCAGUGGGGAAUAUUGGACAAUGGGCGAAAGCCUGAUCCAGCCAUGCCGCGUGUGUGAAGAAGGUCUUCGGAUUGUAAAGCACUUUAAGUUGGGAGGAAGGGCAGUAAAUUAAUACUUUGCUGUUUUGACGUUACCGACAGAAUAAGCACCGGCUAACUCUGUGCCAGCCGCCGCAGUAA
rnacentral:rRNA from 1 species